CCAAACGAACUUGGAGAUAGCUGGUUCUCUCCGAAAUAGCUUUAGGGCUAGCCUCGGAAUUGAGAAUGAUGGAGGUAGAGCACUGUUUGGACUAGGGGCCCAUCUCGGGUUACCGAAUUCAGAUAAACUCCGAAUGCCAUUCAUUUAUAUCCGGGAGUCAGACUGCGAGUGAUAAGAUCCGUAGUCGAAAGGGAAACAGCCCAGACCACCAGCUAAGGUCCCAAAAUAUAUGUUAAGUGGAAAAGGAUGUGGGGUUGCACAGACAACUGAUGUUGGCUUAGAAGCAGCCAUCAUUUAAAGAGUGCGUAAUAGCUCACUAGUCGAGUGACCCUGCGCCGAAAAUGUACCGGGGCUAAACAUAUUACCGAAGCUGUGGACUACACCAUUAGGUGUAGUGGUAGGAGAGCGUUCUAAGGGCGUUGAAGGUCGAUCGUGAGGACGGCUGGAGCGCUUAGAAGUGAGAAUGCCGGUGUGAGUAGCGAAAGACGGGUGAGAAUCCCGUCCACCGAUUGACUAAGGUUUCCAGAGGAAGGCUCGUCCGCUCUGGGUUAGUCGGGUCCUAAGCUGAGGCCGACAGGCGUAGGCGAUGGAUAACAGGUUGAUAUUCCUGUACCAGUUGUUUUUGUUUGAGCAAUGGAGGGACGCAGUAGGCUAAGGAAUGCAUGCGAUUGGAAGUGCAUGUCCAAGCAAUGAGUCUUGAGUAGAGUUAAAUGCUUUACUCUCUAAGGACAAGUUGUGACGGGGAGCGAAAUAAUAGUAGCGAAGUUCCUGAUGUCACACUGCCAAGAAAAGCUUCUAGUGAGAAAACAACUGCCCGUACCGUAAACCGACACAGGUAGUCGAGGAGAGUAUCCUAAGGUGAGCGAGCGAACUCUCGUUAAGGAACUCGGCAAAAUGACCCCGUAACUUCGGGAGAAGGGGUGCUCUUUAGGGUUCACGCCCAGAAGAGCCGCAGUGAAUAGGCCCAAGCGACUGUUUAUCAAAAACACAGGUCUCUGCAAAAUCGUAAGAUGAAGUAUAGGGGCUGACGCCUGCCCGGUGCUGGAAGGUUAAGAGGAGUGGUUAGCUUCUGCGAAGCUACGAAUCAAAGCCCCAGUAAACGGCGGCCGUAACUAUAACGGUCCUAAGGUAGCGAAAUUCCUUGUCGGGUAAGUUCCGACCCGCACGAAAGGCGUAACGAUUUGGGCACUGUCUCAACGAGAGACUCGGUGAAAUUUUAGUACCUGUGAAGAUGCAGGUUACCCGCGACAGGACGGAAAGACCCCAUGGAGCUUUACUGUAGUUUGAUAUUGAGUGUUUGUACCACAUGUACAGGAUAGGUAGGAGCCGAUGAGACCGGAACGCUAGUUUCGGAGGAGGCGCUGGUGGGAUACUACCCUUGUGUUAUGAACCCUCUAACCCGCACCACUAAUCGUGGUGGGAGACAGUGUCAGAUGGGCAGUUUGACUGGGGCGGUCGCCUCCUAAAAGGUAACGGAGGCGCUCAAAGGUUCCCUCAGAAUGGUUGGAAAUCAUUCGAAGAGUGUAAAGGCAGAAGGGAGCUUGACUGCGAGACCUACAAGUCGAGCAGGGACGAAAGUCGGGCUUAGUGAUCCGGUGGUUCCGCAUGGAAGGGCCAUCGCUCAACGGAUAAAAGCUACCCUGGGGAUAACAGGCUUAUCUCCCCCAAGAGUCCACAUCGACGGGGAGGUUUGGCACCUCGAUGUCGGCUCGUCGCAUCCUGGGGCUGUAGUCGGUCCCAAGGGUUGGGCUGUUCGCCCAUUAAAGCGGCACGCGAGCUGGGUUCAGAACGUCGUGAGACAGUUCGGUCCCUAUCCGUCGCGGGCGUUGGAAAUUUGAGAGGAGCUGUCCUUAGUACGAGAGGACCGGGAUGGACAUACCUCUGGUGUACCAGUUGUCGUGCCAACGGCAUAGCUGGGUAGCUAUGUGUGGACGGGAUAAGUGCUGAAAGCAUCUAAGCAUGAAGCCCCCCUCAAGAUGAGAUUUCCCAACUUCGGUUAUAAGAUCCCUCGAAGAUGACGAGGUUAAUAGGUUCGAGGUGGAAGCGUGGUGACACGUGGAGCUGACGAAUACUAAUCGAUCGAAGACUUAAUCAA
rnacentral:rRNA from 1 species